GGCUUUUGAUGCAAAAUCAGAACUCUGCAUCCACAAGCAUAAGCAUAUUUAAAAUGGGCAGUGACAUAUAUUAGACCUUUAAGGUCCACAAAAGGGGAAACAAUUAGCCACACAAUUUGUUCUCUUAGUCAAUGAAAUUGCCUUUGCUUAAAGCAUAAAGUUUAACAUUUAACAAUAUGCUGCUUGUAUUUUAGGCCAAUACAAUAAAUGAAAAACAAUGAUAAAAUUCAGCACCUUCCCCCAUUUUCCCCCAAUUCAAAAGACACAACAAAACCAAGAUUAUGUCAGGCAUUCUUCCUGCACCCUAGCAAAACCUUAUCAACUUAAAUAGGUAUUUCUAAUCAAUAUACCUUCUGAUGCACACAUGUUUCAUUAUAAAAUGAAAGUUCAAGGCCUAUACUUCAAUUCCAAUCACACUAUCACUCCAGCCACAUGAACUUUAAAAGAAAAAGCAAAUUAACAGACAAUUGAGGGAUAUCAGAAAGGUCUCCAAAACGACCACACUAAAGCAACCUACCUCAGAAUUAUAACUUUUAAAUAAGCCUUUAUGAUUGAUGCAUCUCCCAAGUCUUCCUUUACUGAACUAUAUCAUCUCUAUUGAUGCCCAUGCCUUGAGCAUCUACUAUCACUAUUCACUAUACAGCAAUUGCCUUCUUUUAGUCCAAACUUCAAAUUCGUUUCUCAAUUAUGUCUGUAUACAUUUGUAUUUCUCUACCAAUAGUAGACCCUCUAUAUCUACACUAGAAUGAGAAACAUUUUCCUUGCCGCUGUGGUGUGACCUUUUCAAACUCACCUGGCACCUCAAGAGUACAAAAUUCUACAAGACCAUCAAACUUUUAUAAUGACUGAUUGCUACAUUUGAUUUAGCUAAUACUUAU
rnacentral:misc_RNA from 1 species